CUAGUAUUCUGCAGUGGUUAGUUAAUUGUUUUCUAUUAAACAACUAUAUACUGAAUCCAUGAUAUUAUUCUGGAUGUUUUGGAGGAUACAAUGAUGUACAUGGCCACUGUGAUGAUAAGGGGGUCCAGUUUAGUUAAGAAGAGAAACCACAGGAGUUAUAACUUAAUGUAACAAGGAAAUACAGACACAUAUACAUAUAUUUAUAUGUAAAUUACUAUUUAUAUAGUAUACAAUGUCUUCUGAAGAAGAUAGAGUUGUUUGUAACUUGGGAUCUCACAGGAGGUUUCACAGAGAAGGUAGACCCUGAGCUGGGCAGAAUUUCAGUAAGUUAAUUUGGUUCUGACCGUACGAUAAAAUCAGGUAUUUGCACUGGUCAAUCUGACCUUGAUGGAACAGCAUUCCAUUUGCAGGGAAUGGUGUGAUCAAACAUGCAGUGGUGGAGAUGGCCAGAUUGUAAUAUUCCAGUACCUGGAAAGUGUUGGAACAUCUGCUUUCUCCACGGUCUAGAAAAGUGAAUCUCAAGUGAAAUGCACGUAUAAUGGAGGCCAGUGCUCUUUGCUUUGUGCACUGCUUUGAUUCUACAGCAUGCAACAAUGUAGUGAUCUGUUUCAGAUUGUCAUUAUUCGAGAGGGUUCUUAGUAACAGGAGUGGAAAAGGAAGACCUCUCUUCCUGUGUUUCUGCCCUAUGCUCUUAAGCCAGAAAAGGUACCAACAUCACUGACCUGACCUUGUCUCAGGUAUCUAUCAGGAUCUACUAGAAUCAUUCUAGUGAAAGGUAACUAGACGUCCAAAAGACUCAAAAGAUACACUAUAACCUUUGUAUACUUUACCUGGUGAAACAAAAAUGUCACCUGAGUGGUCCCCUUCCCUAGAAAUACCAGUAUGUUCUUCCAGUGCAUGGCAGAACUUUGCAGGUAAAACUGGGAUAAAGGUGAAGAACAGUCUUAAAAUUCUAGUCCUUGAACAGCACCUAACACACAACAGGUUUUCAAUAAUCUUAGCAACAGUAUUCACAAAUAAUGACCAUCAGCGUAACUGCUCUUUUGUGCCAAAAUACAUUACCAUAUUACUUUUUUUCCUUCAGCUUUACAACUUGGGUUCUAUUAUUGUUUCCAUUUUACAGAUUAGGAAAGUGAGGCUCAGAGAUGCUAAGUCACUUGGGCAAGGUCACAGAGCUUGUAGGAGAUAAACCUGCAGGCUUACUGUUGGAUCCUACAAACCAGACCAUAAUUUAAGUCCUUCAAAAUAUACCUCAGAACAUUUGAGUAAAUUAAUGAAUAAAUCCUCCUAGUCAGACUGACCAGAUCAUUAUAUUAGGUUCAGCUAUAAGUGGAGGAAAGUCAUAAUCAUAGUUGGACAGUUAAUACAGUAAUUUACUUGCUUUGAAUUUUCUAAAUGACAUUUAGCUGCUAAUUUCAUGAUGAUAACCAUCGAAUAAAAACAGGUAUAUUUUGAUGUUUGGAAUAAGAUCUGAUAUUGAGUAAAAUACAUAUUGAUUCCUAGACCUAUAUGAUGUGAGUAACAUGACAUUGAGAUGCCAUCUAGAAGUACUCCUGUGCAGUUCAUCAUGUCAACCCAGCUAAUAAUUUUAGAAUCUUCAGAGUGAAUAAUAUAUGCAGCCAUAAAGCAUAUUUCUAAUCAAUGCAAAUAAUAUUUUUCCUAUGCUAAACCCAGAGUGAAGUUAUAACACGCAUCAUAAGAUUAAUGGGCCAUGUUUUCUUCAUCACUUUGCUAAAUUACUUAGUCUGGAAACCAUUCAGAAGGUUGCGAAUUGGAGCUGAGCAGUAGUAGUGAGACUGUGCCUCUGAUGAAACUAUUUCCACCCUGACCCCUACUGCUCCCUUCUUGGGAAAGAAGGCAACAUUUCUCCUAGAAAAAGUCACAGGUUCAUAAGCUGGCUUGUAUAAUACGUUUGGAGGAAUAGUGUGUCUUUUAAGCAGAGCCUAUCUCGGCAUAUAAAAUAAUUUUUACCUACCAUUUAAUGAAAUUAACACUCACUUUGAGGCUAGGUCUUUUGCCAUUUGACUCCUGGAUCACGUCUAUGGAUAUAUUUUUUUCUUGAGACGAAGUGUGAACCCAAUAUAGUAUCCAUCAUUCAGUCUAUCUAGCUGAGGUACAUCAUCUGAAGCACAAGCUCCGUGAGGCCAGGCACUUUAUCUGCUCUAUCAGUGUAGCCCUGAUGCCUAGUGUCUAGCUUUUGGAGAUUCUUAAUAAACAUUUGUACUGAAUAAGGUAUGUAUAUGGUGAGCAAAAGUUGGCUUCCCAUUUUCCAGUCAAGGGUAUCCCACUCAUGUUCUGUGAACACUGGAUAGCAGAAUCUUACUAUGUUAUUUUUCUUUUCCCUUUGCAAGUUUCCUGAAAGGGCAUUCCUGUCCUUAGAAUGUCCAUCUCCUCCCAUCUUCCUGGAGAAUAACUCUUCUUUCUUAAAUACUUAGCCCCAUUAUUGACUCUUUAAGAUUGAAUGUAUUACCUCCUUACAAACAGGAAAAUGCAGUGCUUUUUUUUUUUUUUUUCGACAGUUUAUCACCAGAAAAUUAUUCUAACACCUGAAAUUCUGGACCUAAAAUGCCUGGACUAGUGGUUCUCAAAGUCUGGUACCCAGACCAGCACAUCAGCUGCACGUAGGAAUUUUUAGAAGUGAAAGUCUUGGGCCCUGCUCCAGACCUACAGACUCGGACACUCUGGGGGUGGGGCCCACUGCCUGUUUCAGCAAGCUCUCUUGGUGAUGCUGAUGCAUACUCAAGUUUGAGAGCCACUGCUUAGACCUAGAACUUAAGGUUUAGGCUUUGGACAGAUCUGAGUCCUAAACACUACUGAGACACUGGGGUGACCAUGAGCAAGUUACUUCUGGGAACCUCUUAGCAUCUGUAUGCCUUGCUUAGCUAAUAGUGAUUUUAAUUAAUUAGAAGAAUGCACACGGUGUACUCAAGAGAGUAACCAAAGCAUACUUUAUGUUCCAUAAAUUCUAGCUGUUUACCAUUAUCAUCAAUCAGAGCUUACUGACACAUCCUGAAGACAUUCUUCUAAUAAGUGUAAUAAUGUGGUUUGUAAAAUUAACAGCUUAGAAGAGCAUAUUACGAAGUUCAUCAGACAGGAUCUCAGCAGGAAAUCAGGGGUACAUCAAUAAGGAUAAAUUGAGCCCAAUGUAGAGAAUCAAGAGAUAGUGUAGUGCCCUGGGUUCAGUAGAAGUGUGGCUACCUUUAUAGAAGAUGAAAGAGAAAGGAAGCCUUGCUGGAGAGAGAGUCCUCCCCAAAGAUGCUGUGAUGCCCCACGGAGAAGCACUAUACGUUAGUUGGGGGAUGCAAUUUGGCAAGAAUUAAUACCCUAACUUCACUCCCCUCCUUCAUUCCCUACAGUCUUCUAUUGGUACUCUUCAUUGGUGAGCCAAACAGAAGCUAGAGCAAGGACACUUACUAAGAUAGGCCAUGCAAGCCAUCCAUAUAGAGUUGGGUGGAGAAAGGAUGUGGAAGGGCAAAGAGGACAUAUUUCCCGCAGGUGGUGAGCGAGCUGUAAAAUCACUCGCCCUUCUAACAUCAUUGCCAUUGCAGGAGCACGGAGGAGCAAGUGGUUACUUCUGACUUGGCAGAUCCAGGCGACUGCAGGACAGAACUGGUAUAUGAGUUGGGCUUUAAAGCAUGGACGACAUGGGAACAAAGAUGAUAUUUCAUCAGUCUUGUUUUUAUUUAAGUUGAAAGGUUAUAUAUUUCUACUAUCUACUGCAAUACUGCUAAAUAUUUUUAUAGUGCUUGUAAAUCUUAUGACAUUAUUUUUUUAGUUUGUAUUUAAGGCAUUUACUCAAAAGGGACCAUAUGCCUCAGUUCAUGUCACUCUAUCAUCAGUGUGUAUGGUCACUCUAUUUUCUAAUACUUUUAAGAUUGGUUUUGGCCCCGACGUUCCUCUGCCAGAUUUAUUUCCUUUAUUUUCCCCUAUAUAGCACCAUUUGGGCCAUUUAAUAUGUAAUUUCCCAACUCACCUUUCAUAGUUAUUUUAAACAUAUGUAUAUAUUUGAAAUACCGAAUUGUUUUGUAUUUUCUAAUUUUUGCAAAAGUAGUAUCGACUAAGAAUCACAUCCUAUUCUUUUAUUUUUUCUACACAAAAUUAUUGUUUUAAAAUUUGUCUGUGUUGCUCCAUAGAAAUUAUUGCUUCUGGCCACUGUCUAAUAUUCCACCAUAUGUUAAUCCCAUGUUUUGCUUAUCCAUUACCCUGGUGAUACAUACUUAGGCUCUUUUCAACACUUUAUGUCCACCAUAAAGCAUUAAUACACUCUUUCCACAUGUCCCCUUGAGUAACAGUGCAGAGUAACAGUGCAGCCGUGGAAUAGCUGAGGUAGAAGUCAUAUAUAUGCCUUAUUUCACAGAUUCCUCCCCAGAAUAGCUGUACCAUUUUCCCCUCACCAGCAAUACUUGGACUUUCUCUCUUGCCACAUCCUUUGUCACCACAUGCUGUUAAUCUGCAUUUUUAAAAAUUAAUUAAUUUAUUUAUUUUUGGCUGCAUUGGGUCUUCGUUGCUACACUCAGGCUCUCUCUAGUUGCAGCGAGUGGGGUCUACUCUUCGUUGCGGUGCGCAGGCUUCUCAUUGCAGUGGCUUCUCUUGUUGCGGCGCACAGGCUCUAGGCGCGCGGGCUCAGUAGUUGUGGCUCCCAGGCUCUAGAGCGCAGGCUCAGUAGUUGUGAUGCGCAGGCGGAGUUGCUCCACGGCAUAAUUUGCAUUUUAACUUCUGGACAUUUGGCAUGUGUGGAUUCAUAUGAAGUAAGGUGUUUUAAUUCUGCAUUGCUCUGAUUCUAGAAAAGUUAGGUCUUCAUAUACUUUCUUGCUAUUCAUGUUUUCCAUUCUAUGAAUUGCCUAUCAUGACCUUCGCUCAUUUUUCUAUUGAGUAUUCUGUGUCUUUAGAGAUGUAGAAGUUUUUGUAUUCAGAUGUUGAGUCCUUUAUUGGGUUUUAGAUAAUGUAUAUGUCUUCUACCCAUCAACUGUUUUUCAGUCUGACUUUGGUAUCCUUUAUUGUACAUAAAAUUCUAAUUUUUUAUUAAAGUAUAAUUGAUUUACAA